AUGAAUGAUGUCAUAGAGGUCAGCGACGGCGAGGAAGAGGGGAUGGCCGUGGAUGUCAACAACGGGGAGAGCGGGGAGGAGGGCGUUCCUCCGGUCCCGACUCCUAGCAAGUGUGCGGUGCGGGUGGUGACCGGCAAGAGGGGUGUUGCAGACGAGAUUAAGGACUCCGAUGGAGGUGGUGGACGGGACCAUGGGAGCGUUUGCUGUGAUGGCAAUGUGAUUCUGGACGACGAUGAUGUUUUGAUCACGCCGCGAGGCAAGAAGCACGCAGCGGCACGGGUAAUCAGCGACAGUGAGAGCGAGGAUGAAGAUGAGAAGGUGGGUGUUAGAAGCAGCAGGAAGCGUGCGUUGCGUGGAGUCAGUGACAGUGAGAGUGAAGAUGGCAGUGAGGGUGUUCCUGUGGUGAAUCAAAAACCUGUUUCACCUCUAGUUACGACAGGGGUUGAGAGUGAGGAUGACGAUGGUGAAUUAUGUCAGAUGGAGGGGCGUUCUACUCCGGCAACAAGGCGCUUCGCUCGGUUAACUAAAGGUCAAUCAAAGAGAAUGCGACCUACACGUCGGGAACUUGAGUUUAUUGAACCCAAGAAUCAUGAAGAGAGCGAGGAUGAUUCAGAAGAGGAUGAUAAUUUGGAAAAUUUUAUAGUAGAUGAUUCAGAUUGUUCAGAAAACUCUGCUGAUUCUGUUGAAGAAUCCUCUGCUGGACCAGAAGAGUCUGACAACGAGGAAACUUAUAAAGAGCUUAUGGAUAGGAUACGCGGCAAAAGGAAUGCCAAGAAUAAGGAUUGGAAGAUUGAGCUAGAGAUGCUAUCAGCAUUUGAUGAAUACCCUGAACUUCGCCUGAAAGCUGUUUGUGCCCUCUAUCGAAAGCAGACCCAGGAAGAACAGGCAGGAAAAUUUACUAUCAUGCACAACAAAAAAGGAUACCAGAUAGACGCCCGAAGGGGUUCCCACAUAGCGCAGUUUCUUCUGGAUGGUGAUGCUGCUGGGCCGCUUAAGAAGACUGCACAAGACUUGGAAAAUUACGACCGGUAUGCUCUUGAGUUCUGUCACAAGAUGGCUUUACGUUACUCGAAGCAGUUCUUUGCAAUAUAUCAGAAUAAGGAGGACCCCUACUUUCCAUGA
rnacentral:rRNA from 1 species